ensembl:lncRNA
UGACAUUUGAAGGAAGAUGCCUGUACAUUAGGUUCUGUUUGGCUUAAAAGUUCAGAUCUAAUGCUAAGAAUGUCUUUAUGUAGAAUAAGACAAUGACUGAACAUGCCCACAUGAUAAUAACAGGCAAAGAAACCCAUGGAGCUGCAUUUUACUGACAUGAAGGAAUGCACACUAAUGGCAAAAAGGAGAAAACUGCAUCUCUGGAGAGUAAAUCAAAUCCUUCUGGGUAAAGUGGUUAUUAAGAAAUGAACAACCACUGGAAUCUCAGUUGUGCUACCAGAGUCAUGCUCCUUACCUUGACCCUCCAAUUCGAACCACAGAGAACCUGUCCUGAAGACAUAUGAUCAGAUCUACUCUCCUAAAUUCUGAAUUAAUCAGGGGAUAGUGCAUAGGUUGGAAAGAGUUCAUGUCACCUUAUUUUUCAAAAAUCAUAUAUUCUGAAGAAUACUUUAAUACAAUACUUAAAUUCACAGUAUUUUUCAGACUCUGCUUGGCUGUGGAUAGAUAUUUCCCAUUCAGACAUAUGUAUGCUUGAUGCAUAAUGACACACUGAAAAAUAGAAACACAGAAAUUGAACAUUUUAAGGCAGUAAUUCACCUCAAAGAAACUCCUUUGUAAUAGCUGAUCUGUUCUGUCAGAUAACUGCAAGGUUCUUUAGGACAAUGAUGACCUCAGUGGAAGACUUUCAAGCAGUCUUGCGUCUUCUGUAGGGCAGGAACCUUGCAAAGCACUUAGCUCAUCCUGAAUCAGGACCUAAGCCUGGAAGGAGGCAAAUCCUGCAGGCUGCUAGGGUGAGGGAAACUGAAAAUGACCUCUUGCUGUCAGAUUUCACUCAUUCGUUUUAACCCAAGGUUUCCCCAAGGCUGCAGAACAAAUUCCUUCUGUGCAGGAAGUGCUCGUGCUAAUCCAGAGGUUCAAAGCCUGUAUGAGGAAAUAUAAUGCUUCCUCCAGGGACUUUUCAGAGGAGAGUGGUUGACCACAAGAAAAUAAAAUCUCCUGCAGCUGAUCGUAAGCCUGUGUGAGAGGGCUGCUGAGGAGUCACCUAGGAAUGAGUGCAAUUCCUGUUUAUGAGUCAGCAGGGAAGGAGCAGCCCAAGUCAGAUUUUGGGAGAUGCCUGCGCUGUCUGCCUCUUUUCAGACCAUGGGAACACUGCAAGGAAAAUAAUGAGGAGAUAUGAGGUUAAGGAAUGUGGGAAUUCAAGGUUCUAUAGACCAUGCUUAUGGAUGGAUUGAUGUAGCUGCCUGCUAGGCAUGACAACACCUGCAGCAAGCAGAGAUGUGAGCUCUGAUCCAGCAUUGCUGCGUCAUGUUAAGUUUCAGAUGCUGCUGUAGUGUAGAAGAAGAGAGGCAGAGCUCGGGAGACCUGACAGGAGUGAUACCCCUUUAUCCUAUGACCACAUCUACUGUGGGACCUCCUCAACUGCCAUCUUCUUGAUUUGAAGCCUUUUCUUCAAGACAGAGACCCAAAGAAGUGCCACACGCACAGCACCUGGAGCAGCCAAAGAGUUAAAUCACUUCCCAUCGCCGUUUACAUGGGAUACAGAAACAACUUUUCCUGCUGCAUCUGUAGCUGCCAGCAGAACUCAGUGACAGCUUUAUAAAUCACACCUGAAGCAAAUAAAAAUGCCAUGUCCAGAAUGAGCCCUUAUCUCUUCUUGUUUGUGUUUGGCUAUUUUGUUUCUAAAGGUCACGGGUGGAAGCAGAAUGAGCCGUCACUGGGUGAUGUAUGUAGUCUUUGGCAUGGAGUGACUGAUUUUCUGUUAGGGCACAGUAAUACAAAUGUGAAUGGAAGAAGUGGGGGAGAGAAGAGGUGAGAAAAGCUGUGAAGCAAGCAGUGAAAGAAAAAAAAGGAGGGAAAAGAAAAAAAGGAAAAAAAGAAAUGUAAUUGCAAUAGCCUCCAAAGUACAUGGAACACAAAGCAGCUGUUAAGGAAAAAUGGGAAGAACAGAUGAAAAACAAGAAGUUCAGCCAGUUCUAUGUUUUGGUAAAUGAUGCAGAACCACACUAUUCUGUGUCCAGGAGGGAAAGGUACCCUUUUGUCUCAUGCUUCUUAUAUCCCAUCUUAACCUGCUCUGGAAGCUCCCCACAUAUGUUAUCAGGGGUCAUCAUAAGAAAAAGUACAGUUUUACUCACGUAAUCACUAAUAGUUUUAUAUGGAGAGGAGGUGGGGAAUGGGAGAGGGUACUGUUACAGAGUCAUUACACUUGCUUAGCAGGAAGUAAAACAGUUCAGAUCUGAGAUUUUCCCUCAAUGGUCUACACAAUGUCUCUAAAAUCUUCUGUUUGGGCUGGGUCAUCGCUUUCAGAAGGGCUUUGAAUUCUAGGAUUUAGAUGGUGCAAAGCUCACUGCUCUGUGGGGAAAUUAUUUCAGAGAUUAAU